rnacentral:rRNA from 1 species
UACAGAGGGUGCGAGCGUUAAUCGGAAUUACUGGGCGUAAAGCGUGCGUAGACGGUUAUUUAAGUCGGGUGUGAAAGCCCCGGGCUCAACCUGGGAAUUGCAUUCGAGACUGAAUAGCUAGGGUACGGUAGAGGGAAGUGGAAUUUCCGGUGUAGCGGUGAAAUGCGUAGAUAUCGGAAGGAACAUCAGUGGCGAAAGCG